rnacentral:lncRNA from 1 species
GACUUUCUUGCAGAAAUUAUAAGAGAAAUAAGGAGGCGGUGGGGAUUCGAAAAGCUUAGCCCGCACCCGGGAAGGGCGAAAAUCCCUUUCCCCGCAACUCAGUUCGAAAGUGAAGGUUUCCCAACAGUGAUGUCACAAGAUUGACCACACUGACACAGUGCAGAGUGGUGGCGAACCACAGAUGGUCACUCUCGUGCAGGAACGCCCUUCUUUCCUCCAUUACUGGGAAUUCCACCACUGUUUGCUCCUCCAGCCCAGAAUCACGAUUCGUCAUUCCAUUCAAGGACUUCUGGGAAGAGCAAUCGAAAUGGUCCCGAAAAAGGUAUAAAUGGGUCAGUUAAUGGAAACAGUGCAGCAUCUGUACAUGGUGUCAAUAC